GUGACGACUAGCGGGAGUGUGAGAGAAACGAAAUCCUCUCUUUUGCUUUGUUGACAGUACUUCUGUAGUUUUUAGUCUCAUUAACUUUCUUUAUUAGUAAUCAUUAGUAAAAUAGUGACGUACAGCAUUAUCUGCUUAAAAAUGGCUGGACAAGGACACAACUCGGAAAUCGAGCUUGAUUUUAUCGAAACUGGAAAGAGAUGCUCUGGUAAAAGCUGAGGCAUCCAGCACAGCACCUGGAAGGCUCUCACCCAUUCCUGAGCUGGAUCCCUGGGAGAGAGAAGUAGAAAAGAGCUCUACAGAAUUCACAUACUCCUUAUUCUCAGUGGACAGGUACAGCACUGCCUCCUCCUCCAGCAGCUCCCUAUCUGACUCCCAGGAGAGAGGAGGUGAGUCACACAUCAUCACACAUGGGUUUGCAGAUUGGUCACCUUCUUCAUUCCAAGACCACCAUAUUGCCCUAAAGUGCACUAUCGAAUAAUAAUUACA